UGGAGAAUCUUGCACAAUGGGUGAAAGCCUGAUGCAGCAACGCCGCGUGAAGGAUGAAGGCCCUUGGGUCGUAAACUUCUGUUCUAAGGGAAGAUAGUGACGGUACCUUAGGAGCAAGUCCUGGCUAACUACGUGCCAGCAGCCGCGGUAAUACGUAGGGGGCGAGCGUUAUCCGGAAUUAUUGGGCGUAAAGAGUACGUAGGUGGUUUCCUAAGCGAGGGGUUUAAGGCAAUGGCUUAACCAUUGUUCGCCCCCCGAACUGGGUUACUUGAGUGCUGGAGGGGAAAGCGGAAUUCCUAGUGUAGCGGUGAAAUGCGUAGAUAUUAGGAGGAACACCAGUGGCGAAGGCGGCUUUCUGGACAGUAACUGACACUGAGGUACGAAAGUGUGGGGAGCAAACAG
rnacentral:rRNA from 1 species